rnacentral:rRNA from 1 species
AUGGUCGAGCCAUAAGGGCACACGGUGGAUGUCUUGGCGUCAAGAGGCGAUGAAGGACGUAGGAACCUGCGAUAAGCCCAGAGGAGCUGGUAACCGAGCUUUGAUCCUGGGAUUUCCGAAUGGGGCAACCCACCCUUCGGGGUACUCUGCACUGAAUGCAUAGGUGCAGAGAGCGAACGUGGAGAACUGAAACAUCUCAGUACCCACAGGAAAGGAAAGCAAUAGCGACUCCGUGAGUAGCGGCGAGCGAAAGCGGAUGAACCAGCGGAGCGAGCGAACCGGUUGGAAUGCCGGGCCAAAGAAGGUGAAAGCCCUGUAACCGCGUGCUGGGGAUGCCCUCGAGUAGAUUCGGGCUCGUGGAACCCGGAUUGAAGAUGGGGAGUCCACUCUCCAAGGCUAAGCACUCCUUGACGACCGAUAGCGAAGAAGUAAGGCGACUGAAAGAUGAAAAGCACCCCGACGAGGGGAAUGAAAGAGUACCUGAAACCGUGUGCUUACAAGCGGUCGGAGCCCCGUAAGGGGUGACGGCGUGCCUUUUGCAUAAUGAGCCCGCGAGUUAGUCUGUACGGCGAGCCUAAGGCCUACCGGGCCGGAGGCGGAGCGAAAGCGAGUCUGAUAAGGGCGUCAAGUCGUACGGGCUAGACACGAAACCUUGUGAUCUACCGUUGGCCAGACUGAAGGACGGGUAACUCCGUCUGGAGGGUCGAACGCGUGAACGUUGAAAAGUUCUGCGAUGAGCUGACGGGAGGACUAAAAGUGUAAUCAAACUGGGAGAUAGCUUGUUCUUUCCGAAAUACCUUUAGGGGUAGCCUCGUGUGCAGUGUGUGGGGGUAGAGCUACUGGAUGGAUUGAGGGGCCUACCCGGUCACCUGGUCCAACCAAACUCCGAAUACCAUACACGUAGACACGGGAGAAAGACUUCGAGUGACAAUAUCCGAGGUCAAAAGGAGAAAAAUCCAGACCGCCAGCUAAGGCCCCGAAUCUGUGCUUAGUUCGAAAGGAAGUCAGACUGCUGAGACAUCCAGGAUGUUGGCUUAGAAGCAGCCAUCAUUUAAAGAGUGCGUAACAGCUCACUGGACGAGGAGUCUGGCGCCGAAAAUGAUCGGGAAUAAGCAUAGAGCCGAAGCUGCGGACGCGAAAGCGUGGUAGGAAAGCGUUGCUGGUGCGGUGAAGCGGUGCGGGAACGCGUCGUGGAGCGCCAGCAAGUGAACAUGCGGGCUUGAGUAACGAUAAAGCAGGUGAAAAUCCUGCUCGCCGUAAGCCUAAGGUUUCCUGGGGAAGGGAAAUCCGCCCAGGGUUAGCCGGGUCCUAAGAUGAGGCCGAAAGGCGUAGUCGAUGGAAAUCAGGUCAAUAUUCCUGAGCCAAUGUCCAAUAAGGCGACGAAGCUCCAGACAUCACGGGACUGUCAGAUGUCCAGGCCGUAUGGCCGAUGUGAUGAAAGGGGUUUCCUAGAAAAGCCGGACGUGCCCGUACUAAAACUGACACAGGUAGGCGAGGCGAAUAGCCUCAGGCGCUCGAGAGAACGGUCGUGAAGGAACUAGGCAAGUUAACCCCGUAAGUUCGCGAUAAGGGGGCCCUACCCGUAAGGGAGGGCGCAGAGAAAAGGCUCUGGGAACUGUUUAUCAAAAACACAGCUCUGUGCGAAGACGCAAGUUGACGUAUACAGAGUGACGCUUGCCCGAUACCGGAAUGUCAAGAGAGUGGGUUAGCGAAAGCGAAGCUCGCGAUCUAAGCACCGGUGAAUGGCGGCCGUAACUAUGACGGUCCUAAGGUAGCGAAGUUCCUUGUCGGGUAAGUUCCGACGCGCAUGAAUAGCGUAAUCACUGGAGCACUGUCUCCACGACCGACUCGGUGAAAUAGUAGUGGCGGUGAAGAUACCGCCUUCCCGCAGCAAGACGGAAAGACCCCGUGGACCUUCACUAUAGGUUCUCAUUGGUCACGAGCAUACUCUGCGUAGGAUAGGUGGGAGGCUUUGAUGCCCCGGUUCCGGCCGGGGAGUAGCCAUCGGUGAAAUACCACCCUGAGCACGUUUGUGGCCUAACUUCGAUUCCCGUGAAACCGGGCGAGGAACAGUGGGAGCUGGGUAGUUUGACUGGGGCGGUCUCCUCCAAAAAGGUAACGGAGGAGUACAAAGGUCGGCUCAGUACGGAUGGAAACCGUACCAAGAGUGCAAGGGCAUAAGCCGGCUUUACUGCAAGACCGACGGGUCGCGCAGUCGCGAAAGCGGGUCCUAGUGAUCCUGCGGUCCCGUGUGGAAGGGCCGUAGCUCAACGGAUAAAAGGUACCCCGGGGAUAACAGGCUGAUCGCGCCCGAGCGUCCAUAGCGGCGGCGCGGUUUGGCACCUCGAUGUCGGCCCAUCACAUCCUGGGGCUGAAGGCGGUCCCAAGGGUUCGGCUGUUCGCCGAUUAAAGUGGUACGCGAGCUGGGUUCAGACCGGCGUGAGCCAGGUCGGUCCCUAUCUGUUGUGGGUGUUGCAAACUUGAGAGGAGUCAACUUUAGUACGAGAGGAUUGGGUUGGACGGACCCCUGGUGAUCCAGUUGCGCCGCUUGGUGCACCGCUGGGUAGCUACGUCUGGCAGGGAUAACCGCUGAAAGCAUCUAAGCGGGAAGCCCCCCUCAAAACCAGGUUUGCUUGUCGAAAGACGUGAGACCCCCGGUAGACCACCGGGUUGAUAGGCCGCAAAUGCACGGGCUGAGAGGCCCUCAGUUGAGCGGUACUAACGGUCAAAGGCUCGGCCA